rnacentral:rRNA from 1 species
GGCCCUACGGGAGGCAGCAGUGAGGAAUAUUGGUCAAUGGACGCAAGUCUGAACCAGCCAAGUAGCGUGCAGGAUGACGGCCCUCCGGGUUGUAAACUGCUUUUAGUUGGGAAUAAAAGGGGGCUCGUGAGCCCCGUAUUGUAUGUACCAUCAGAAAAAGGACCGGCUAAUUCCGUGCCAGCAGCCGCGGUAAUACGGAAGGUCCGGGCGUUAUCCGGCUUUAUUGGGUUUAAAGGGUGCGUAGGCGGGCUUUUAAGUCAGCGGUAAAAAUUCGGGGCUCAACCCCGUCCGGCCGUUGAAACUGG